GCCUUCGUGGUGUAGUGGUGAUCACGCUCGACGCGUAACCGAGAGGUCCGUGGUUCGAUUCCCGGCGAAGGCG
rnacentral:tRNA from 1 species